rnacentral:tRNA from 1 species
GAGAGGGUAGCCUAGUGGACAUGCAUCUGCCCGGUAAGCGGAACACUGUGGGUUUGAUUCCCAUCCCUGGACCUUU